CGGGACACGUGGUAUCCUGUCUGAAUAUGGGGGGACCAUCCUCCAAGGCUAAAUACUCCUGACUGACCGAUAGUGAACCAGUACCGUGAGGGAAAGGCGAAAAGAACCCCGGCGAGGGGAGUGAAAAAGAACCUGAAACCGUGUACGUACAAGCAGUGGGAGCACGCUUAGGCGUGUGACUGCGUACCUUUUGUAUAAUGGGUCAGCGACUUAUAUUCUGUAGCAAGGUUAACCGAAUAGGGGAGCCGAAGGGAAACCGAGUCUUAACUGGGCGUUAAGUUGCAGGGUAUAGACCCGAAACCCGGUGAUCUAGCCAUGGGCAGGUUGAAGGUUGGGUAACACUAACUGGAGGACCGAACCGACUAAUGUUGAAAAAUUAGCGGAUGACUUGUGGCUGGGGGUGAAAGGCCAAUCAAACCGGGAGAUAGCUGGUUCUCCCCGAAAGCUAUUUAGGUAGCGCCUCGUGAAUUCAUCUCCGGGGGUAGAGCACUGUUUCGGCAAGGGGGUCAUCCCGACUUACCAACCCGAUGCAAACUGCGAAUACCGGAGAAUGUUAUCACGGGAGACACACGGCGGGUGCUAACGUCCGUCGUGAAGAGGGAAACAACCCAGACCGCCAGCUAAGGUCCCAAAGUCAUGGUUAAGUGGGAAACGAUGUGGGAAGGCCCAGACAGCCAGGAUGUUGGCUUAGAAGCAGCCAUCAUUUAAAGAAAGCGUAAUAGCUCACUGGUCGAGUCGGCCUGCGCGGAAGAUGUAACGGGGCUAAACCAUGCACCGAAGCUGCGGCAGCGACGCUGAUGCGUUGUUGGGUAGGGGAGCGUUCUGUAAGCCUGUGAAGGUGUGCUGUGAGGCAUGCUGGAGGUAUCAGAAGUGCGAAUGCUGACAUAAGUAACGAUAAAGCGGGUGAAAAGCCCGCUCGCCGGAAGACCAAGGGUUCCUGUCCAACGUUAAUCGGGGCAGGGUGAGUCGAC
rnacentral:rRNA from 2 species